UUACGGCCAUAUCACGUUGAAACACCGGUUCUCGUAUGAUCACCGAAGUUAAGAAACGUCGAGCCCGGUCAAUACCUAGAUGAGUGACCGCUUGGAAAUACCAGGUGCUGUAAG